rnacentral:rRNA from 1 species
AUUGAACGCUGGCGGCAGGCUUAACACAUGCAAGUCGAGCGGAAAUGAGGUGCUUGCACCUUAUCUUAGCGGCGGACGGGUGAGUAAUGCUUAGGAAUCUGCCUAUUAGUGGGGGACAACAUUCCGAAAGGAAUGCUAAUACCGCAUACGUCCUACGGGAGAAAGCAGGGGAUCUUCGGACCUUGCGCUAAUAGAUGAGCCUAAGUCGGAUUAGCUAGUUGGUGGGGUAAAGGCCUACCAAGGCGACGAUCUGUAGCGGGUCUGAGAGGAUGAUCCGCCACACUGGGACUGAGACACGGCCCAGACUCCUACGGGAGGCAGCAGUGGGGAAUAUUGGACAAUGGGGGGAACCCUGAUCCAGCCAUGCCGCGUGUGUGAAGAAGGCCUUAUGGUUGUAAAGCACUUUAAGCGAGGAGGAGGCUACUGAGACUAAUACUCUUGGAUAGUGGACGUUACUCGUAGAAUAAGCACCGGCUAACUCUGUGCCAGCAGCCGCGGUAACAC